GCCUGGGAUUGCUACUAUCAAGUUGGAAAAAGAGGUAAAUACGAUUAGUCAUAGCAAGGUAAAUGGCAUUUUGGGUUAUUUUUUUUUCUACUUUUGGUUUGCACAUGGAGGAAAAACAGAAUUUCACCAGCAUGAAAGUUUCCUCCGAGAAUGUCAAGGAUCCUUACUUGUUCUCCUUUUCCUGAAACAUAGAGAUACAUAAAUCUGGCUGGUGGUUCCCUCGAAGGCUUGUCUCCUAAAUUUCCAUUGUACAAAAUCACAGAGGGAAAUGAAACGCGUUCUUCACCAAUGACAUGAUGAAACUAGAGAAGGAGAAAUGCAUCACAUAUUCACCCUCCAGGAUCUGAAAGCAUCUAAUUCGUGGUUUUUAAUAAAGGUU